UUUUCGUUCCCCCAAAAGUUCAAUUCGGAAACCCUAGGUAUCAGUCUCGCCGUCUCUCCCCUCCUCCGUCAGCAAUGGCGCCCGAUUUGGCGGCGGCGAAUCGCCGUGUGAUGGAGGAUUUGACAAAGAAAUAUGGAGUGACCCCCGAAACCAUCGACUAUGUGACCCUUGGCCCGGUGUGCGUCGAGCCCCGCCGCAUCGUGAAGGUGCCUCGUCCUCCGAUCCCUUCCGCCGGCACGGAGGGGCCGCCGAGGCGUCAGCCCCGGGCGGAGCCGAGCCCGCUCGAGGCAGCGCUGCUGGACACCGUUCACCGGCACCACCUCCAGGCGCUCGCCAUGAUGGACCGCGAGAUCGUCGGCCGGCACGCGCGCGGCAUGCUGCUCGCGGGCUACGCCUACGGCCUCCACGACCCCGUCUGCAACAUCCUCGCCAACUGUCUCUGGCACGAUGCGGUGUUCCCCGCUUCCUCGAGCCAGGAGGUUCGUCAGCCCAUGAUGCUGAGCUGCAAGGCCAUAUUCCGCCUGGCUCGCCGCUCCCUCGAUGCCCUCGUCGCCUUCAUGAGGGCGUACGCGCCCACCCUGUCUGCUGAAGAGGCCAUGUCCUACCUGAGCAGAAGCCAUGGCAACCUUCACCAUGCCGCCGUGCUUGUUGACAGAGAAGGUGUUUUCCACACAAACCGCAUGGACGACGCCUUCAGGGCUGCCAUUCUGGCAGCGCAUCUCCCUAGUGACGCAGCUCGCGAGGCUCAAUUCUUUUUCAUUGUCAACUGUGCUCCUACAGAUGCUUUUCUUGCAAAGCAUGGAAUUCAUGGUCACCCAUUAGCUUUUGGAUUAUCUGACCUCAGGCCGCAAAGCAAUUCAUCGCUUAUAGUGCUUGAAUUUGUCAAGUUGGUUGUUUCCAGUUUAGCUCUCACACAGCCGCCACCAAGCUCGCCGAGCCUAAGCCAAGGAGCAUAUAGAGCGUUAAGGAUCAAGAUGCAUGCCUUCAAGGGGGAUCAGGAGUUUUGCCUUGGUAUAGUAAACAUCGCACUCAAGAAACUUGCGUUCCAGUUUGGGGAACUUUAUCAGAUUCAUCUACUAUGCGGCAAAAGUUUGGUUACUUUGGUUCCUGACAGCUAUUAUCAUGUCAACUUCUUGGCAUCUCUUGAGAGCGAGCCUAAUCAGCCUAAGCUGUUUUUUGCUGAGAUUCGUGCUUCACUUCAAGAUGUGGAUGAUGUGACCUUGUGCUGUCCCGUGACAUUAUCAGGAAGAACUGGUGGAUGCUCUGCUUGUGAGUAUCUGGGAAUGAAACUCAUCCAUCCUGUAGAUGAGAAGUUCAAUGGACAAUGUGACUUCACUAAGGGUAGAGACCCACACAUUGCUGAACUUUUCAGGAAAGACCCUACCUCAGAGUUUGAUGUUCCACUGAUUGAUGAUUACAUUUUCGUUGAGCUUGAUCAACACCCUGAGGUUACAACCUUCCUGGAGACCACUUACUCCUAUAUGAGUGAUGAUCAAGUGGACCUGAGUCUUUUGUGGUUUGAAAAUUAUCUGCCUUAAGCUGUUCUAUGAAGGUUGUGCUGAAUCAAAGUGGGUAUAUAAUCUGACUGACAAAGAAGGGUAGUACUGUAAGGAACAUGCUAUGCUAAAUACUGUCCACAGAUGGGUGGUGUACAAGGUGAUCUCGGUCUGGAGCUCUGGAAAGUACUACAGGAAGUCAAGAUACUCCCUCCGUCCGGAAAUACUUGUCGGAGAAAGGGAUGAAUCUAGACGUAUUUUAGUUAUAGGUACAUUCAAUUUUAUCCAUUUCUUCGACAAGUAUUUCGGGACGGAGGGAGUAGUUUAUUAGUACAAGCAUUGGUUCCAUUCGAAUAUUUUUGGUUAUGUUCCUAUUUCCCUUUUGAUACACUAUUGCAAGUUAUAUGUGAUUGUUGAAGUUCUAGUGCA